rnacentral:rRNA from 1 species
CGGGACGGGUGAGUAAUGUCUGGGAAACUGCCUGAUGGAGGGGGGUAACUACUGGAAACGGUAGCUAAUACCGCAUAACGUCGCAAGACCAAAGAGGGGGACCUUGGGCCUCUUGCCAUCGGAUGUGCCCAGAUGGGAUUAGCUAGUAGGUGGGGUAACGGCUCACCUAGGCGACGAUCCCCAGCUGGUCUGAGAGGAUGACCAGCCACACUGGAACUGAGACACGGUCCAG